GAUGAACGCUGGCGGCGUGCCUAAUACAUGCAAGUCGAGCGAAUGGAUUAAGAGCUUGCUCUUAUGAAGUUAGCGGCGGACGGGUGAGUAACACGUGGGUAACCUGCCCAUAAGACUGGGAUAACUCCGGGAAACCGGGGCUAAUACCGGAUAACAUUUUGAACCGCAUGGUUCGAAAUUGAAAGGCGGCUUCGGCUGUCACUUAUGGAUGGACCCGCGUCGCAUUAGCUAGUUGGUGAGGUAACGGCUCACCAAGGCAACGAUGCGUAGCCGACCUGCGAGGGUGAUGGGCCACACUGGGACUGAGACACGGCCCAGACUCCUGCGGGAGGCAGCAGUAGGGAAUCUUCCGCAAUGGACGAAAGUCUGACGGAGCAACGCCGCGUGAGUGAUGAAGGCUUUCGGGUCGUAAAACUCUGUUGUUAGGGAAGAACAAGUGCUAGUUGAAUAAGCUGGCACCUCGACGGUACCUAACCAGAAAGCCACGGCUAACUACGUGCCAGCCGCCGCAGUAA
rnacentral:rRNA from 1 species